GCUGUGCAUGUGGGUCGUCAACCACGAGCCCACCGAGGACUUU
rnacentral:tRNA from 1 species